rnacentral:rRNA from 1 species
UGGGGAAUAUUGCACAAUGGGCGAAAGCCUGAUGCAGCGACGCCGCGUGAGGGAUGACGGCCUUCGGGUUGUAAACCUCUUUCAGUAGGGACGAAGCGCAAGUGACGGUACCUGCAGAAGAAGCACCGGCUAACUACGUGCCAGCAGCCGCGGUAAUACGUAGGGUGCGAGCGUUGUCCGGAAUUACUGGGCGUAAAGAGCUCGUAGGCGGUUUGUCACGUCGUCUGUGAAAUCCUAGGGCUUAACCCUGGACGUGCAGGCGAUACGGGCUGACUUGAGUACUACAGGGGAGACUGGAAUUUCUGGUGUAGCGGUGGAAUGCACAGAUAUCAGGAAGAACACCGAUGGCGAAGGCAGGUCUCUGGGUAGUAACUGACGCUGGGGAGCGAAAGCAUGGGUAGCGAACAGG